GGGGCCUGUGAUGGUUAAGUGACAUGUUUCUAGACACUGCAGCUGAAGCAUUACUCUUCAAGAGACCUGCAGAUUCAAAUUGCAUGGAUAAGGCUACUGGAUGGAUAAUACUAAUGAGGAAGGUACUUCUCAAUGGACAAUGACAGACAAGCUUAAAUAACAUUUUAUUCUGCUUGCAAGUAAACAUGCCAACAGAAAUCACAACCUGAGCUUUAUUAACACCAGCAUCCAAUCCAGGAAUGUUGAAGUGAGCCAGACGUCACAUGCAGUUAUCGAUGGAGCUCUU